CCUCGACGGCGGACGCUUGCCGAGCGGUUACUAACUUUUCUCCCGGUGCGGUUCCCGCCUCUCCUCCGGGGCUGCGGACCGCGUCAGAUGCCCCGCCCAGGGGCAGCGGCGGCGACGCAGGGACGCUGUCCAGCCCCGGACGCUAAAUAACAAGCUCGCCGCGUCCUCUUUGCUGGAGCUGCGAGCCCCCCGCAACCCGGGCGCCGCGGGGCGGAGUACCAAGGAUGAAGAGCUAGUUGGGCCUGGAGGUGAGCCGAGACACCCAGGACCCUAAAGCUAGGCCAGCAAAGCCGACUGGAGAGAUCUGAAGGUCACCAAAGGCUGAGUACCAGGAGGCUGCGCCCAUGGUAGGGGCAUGGAGGUGAGCUCUGCAGAGGAAUUGGGAAGUUGAGUUGUUGUCGAGGCUUCCUUUUCCCUGCUGUAUGACCCUGGGCAUGUUAUUUAACCUCAGUUUCCCCACGUGUAAAAUGAGGCUGACACCCUCUCCCUCCCAGAGCUUUCGUGAAAAAUAAAAGAGAUGAUGGAUGGGUGAAGGAAGGAAACUCUCCAACGAGCAUGAAGAAAAUGGUGCUGAGUCUGUGUGUGAGUCCCCAUGUUCAGCAUUGCUUCCAUUCCAAGAGCUCCCUUGAGGGAACUGGAGUCAAAUAGUUUGACAUUUUUAAAUGGCUGCCCUGCCAAACAGAGUGACAAGUGUUCUGGGUGGGAGGAGAGGUGUGGGGGGAGGCUUAGUGCUCUGAGAGCACUUCCUUUCCUCUAUCUCACCUUAAAGAAUGAGAAUCUCCAGGCUGUCCUCCUUCCCAGUUCCACCUCCCCCCACCCAGAGACCUGUGCUCUCGCCUGGACUCCUCAGGGCAGGAGUCACUUAUGCCUGGAGGAAUGUUUUUUUCCCCCAUCAAACUUAGGGUCCAAAUGGAAGCAAAGGCUGAAACCCCAGUGGAAAGUAAACUAACUCCUCACCUUCUUGAUUUUCCCAACUGUGAAAUGGGACCAUAGGUGGUGAGUCACUAAUGACGAGGUGCCAUUUGGACUGGUAGGUGACCUCUAGAAGUUACUGAAUCCAUUGCCUCACCUUCCACACACCUCCUACCCACCCCUCCUUCCCACACCUGCAACAGGAUUAUUAUCUCCACAGGCAAGACAACUCCACCAGGCUCCUUGGGGAUGACAGCCACUGUUUGUCAAAUCAGGAAGUCCAUCUGACAGUCUACCUUAAAUGUCUCACUUCUUCCUUCAGGGAAAAGUUAAAGAAUGGACAAUAAAAGAUAAACGCUUAUGGAUGGGCGAGACUACACUAUUUAAAAAAAAAUACCCCCAAAGAGGGCUGAGAUGGGAAUUACUUUCGGACACAAUGCUCUUUACACUAAACAUCUUGGUGAUAAAUAUAGCUGUGUAAUUCUUUUUUCUCCUUGGCAGAGAGAAAGGCUGAGGCUGGGCAGAAAGGCAGAGGGACCCGAAAAUAUAAAUCAAUAUAUGACUUUAA